GACGAACGCUGGCGGCGUGCCUAAUACAUGCAAGUCGAACGCACUGGGGACGGGUGAGUAACACGUGGGUAACCUCCCAUCAGAGGGGAUAACACUUGGAAACAGGUGCUAAACCGAUACUGAUGGAUGGACCCGCGGUGCAUUAGCUAGUUGGUGAGGUAACGGCUCACCAAGGCCACGAUGCAUAGCCGAGCUGAGAGGGGGAUCGGCAACACUGAGACUGAGACAGGGCCGAGACUCCUACGGGAGGAAGCAGUAGGGAAUCUUGGGCAAUGGACGAAAGUCUGACCGAGCGAAGCCGCGUGAGUGAAGAAGGGUGUCGGAUUGUAAAACGCUGUUGUUAGAGGAGCGGUAUCUAACAAGAAAGCCACGGCUAACUACGUGCCAGCAGCCGCGGUAAUAC
rnacentral:rRNA from 1 species